CGAUUGUUUCUCUUGUUCUGGACCUUCCAUUUACUGAGAAAUGGCAUGAAUCUUGCACUUAUGAAAGGUCCACUGGGAAACAAAAAU
rnacentral:miRNA from 1 species